rnacentral:lncRNA from 1 species
GAAAGUAAACGCGAUAGACAGUAUAAUAGCCUACAAUUCGUUCCAUUGAAACAAUACAUCCACUCACAUCAGGAAAGAAACACACCAACUCAAAAAUGCAGAACUUUUCGCUCCUGCUGGUGCUACUAGCUGUUGUUAGUUUCCUGCAAGGCUCGAACGCCAAUCGUAGACUGGAGACUGAACGUCUACCUCCAAUUCCAUCUCAUCGCUGAAACUAGACGUUCACAGAUGUUUACACUCGUAUAAACAGAAAAAUCAAAACUUUUGGCCGAUUAAUCCAUUCCAGACAAUGCAACUACUUGUUAGCUGAUGAUUUAAAAAAUAAAUAAACCGAUUUUCAUUGA